rnacentral:rRNA from 1 species
UACGUAGGGGGCAAGCGUUGUCCGGAAUUAUUGGGCGUAAAGAGCUUGUAGGCGGUUUGUCGCGUCUGCUGUGAAAAUCCGGGGCUCAACCCCGGACUUGCAGUGGGUACGGGCAGACUGGAGUGUGGUAGGGGAGACUGGAAUUCCUGGUGUAGCGGUGGAAUGCGCAGAUAUCAGGAGGGACACCGAUGGCGAAGGCAGGUCUCUGGGCCACUACUGACGCUGAGAAGCGAAAGCGUGGGGAGCGAACAGG